UACCUCAGUAACGGCGAGUGAAGCGGUAACAGCUCAAAUUUGAAAGCUAGCUCUUUUAGGGUUCGCAUUGUAAUUUGUAGAAGAUGCUUCGGGUGUGGCCCCGGUCUAAGUUCCUUGGAACAGGACGUCAUAGAGGGUGAGAAUCCCGUAUGUGACUGGGUGCUUUCGCUCAUGUGAAGCUCUUUCGACGAGUCGAGUUGUUUGGGAAUGCAGCUCAAAAUGGGUGGUAAAUUUCAUCUAAAGCUAAAUAUUGGCCAGAGACCGAUAGCGCACAAGUAGAGUGAUCGAAAGAUGAAAAGCACUUUGGAAAGAGAGUUAAACAGUACGUGAAAUUGUUGAAAGGGAAGCGCUUGCAACCAGACUUGCGCGCUGAUGAUCAUCCGGGCUUCUGUCCGGUGCACUCGUCUGCGCUCAGGCCAGCAUCGGUUUCGGUGGUGGGAUAAAGGCCUUGGGAAUGUAGCUCCUCUCGGGGAGUGUUAUAGCCCUCGGUGCAAUGCCGCCUACCGGGACCGAGGACCGCGCUUCGGCUAGGAUGCUGGCGUAAUGGUUGUAAGCGACCCGUCUUGAAACACGGACCAAGGAGUCUAACAUCUAUGCGAGUGUUUGGGUGUCAAACCCAUACGCGUAAUGAAAGUGAACGGAGGUGAGAACCCUUAAGGGUGCAUCAUCGACCGGUCCUGAUGUCUUCGGAUGGAUCUGAGUAAGAGCAUAGCUGUUGGGACCCGAAAGAUGGUGAACUAUGCGUGAAUAGGGUGAAGCCAGAGGAAACUCUGGUGGAGGCUCGCAGCGGUUCUGACGUGCAAAUCGAUCG
rnacentral:rRNA from 1 species